rnacentral:rRNA from 1 species
GGAAUCUUCCACAAUGGGCGCAAGCCUGAUGGAGCAACACCGCGUGAGUGAAGAAGGGUUUCGGCUCGUAAAGCUCUGUUGUUAGAGAAGAACGUGCGUGAGAGUAACUGUUCACGCAGUGACGGUAUCUAACCAGAAAGUCACGGCUAACUACGUGCCAGCAGCCGCGGUAAUACGUAUGUCCCGAGCGUUAUCCGGAUUUAUUGGGCGUAAAGCGAGCGCAGACGGUUGAUUAAGUCUGAUGUGAAAGCCCGGAGCUCAACUCCGGAAUGGCAUUGGAAACUGGUUAACUUGAGUGCAGUAGAGGUAAGUGGAACUCCAUGUGUAGCGGUGGAAUGCGUAGAUAUAUGGAAGAACACCAGUGGCGAAGGCGGCUGUCUGGUCUGCAACUGACGCUGAGGCUCGAAAGCAUGGGUAGCGAACA